rnacentral:rRNA from 1 species
UACGUAGGGGGCGAGCGUUGUCCGGAUUUAUUGGGCGUAAAGAGCUCGUAGGCGGCUUGGCAAGUCGGGUGUGAAACCUCCAGGCUCAACCUGGAGACGCCACUCGAUACUGCUAUGGCUAGAGUCCGGUAGGGGACCACGGAAUUCCUGGUGUAGCGGUGAAAUGCGUAGAGAUCGGCAGGAACACCCAGGGGGAAACCAGUCGACUGGGCAGCACCUGACGCUGAGGUGCGAGAGCGUGGGGAGCGAACCGG